rnacentral:rRNA from 1 species
UGGGGAAUAUUGCACAAUGGGGGAAACCCUGAUGCAGCGACGCCGCGUGAGUGAAGAAGUAUUUCGGUAUGUAAAGCUCUAUCAGCAGGGAAGAAAAUGACGGUACCUGACUAAGAAGCCCCGGCUAACUACGUGCCAGCAGCCGCGGUAAUACGUAGGGGGCAAGCGUUAUCCGGAUUUACUGGGUGUAAAGGGAGCGUAGGCGGCAAGGUAAGCCAGAAGUGAAAGCCCGCGGCUCAACUGCGGGACUGCUUUUGGAACUAUCUAGCUAGAUUGCAGGAGAGGUAAGUGGAAUUCCUAGUGUAGCGGUGAAAUGCGUAGAUAUUAGGAGGAACACCAGUGGCGAAGGCGGCUUACUGGACUGUAAAUGACGCUGAGGCUCGAAAGCGUGGGGAGCAAACA